rnacentral:rRNA from 1 species
CACGCAGGCGGUGGCGCGCGUUUUGGGUGACAGCGGCGAGCUUAACUCGGCGAGCAUGCGAAAGACGGCGCCACUGGAGGGCCAGAGAGGGACACGGAAUUCCGGGUGGAGUGGUGAAAUGCGUAGAGAUCCGGAGGAACACCGAAGGCGAAGGCAGUGUCCUGGCUGGUGACUGACGCUGAGGUGCGAAAGCCAGGGGAGCGAACG